GAUUCUUCUAUCUGUUUGCAACAAGCAUAAGAUGACUUUAUGAUAUAGAAGGCCCUAUGCACAUUGAAACCUUCAGAGAUAGUAAAGUUUUAGAGAAAACAGCAAUGAAAUGUUUUCUGAAGAGAAUUAUAAUUGCAUUAAUUAAUUACUUAAUUGCAUCAGUUUUAGAAUACAAGCUGACAUUGUGUGUCUUUUCAUUGUCUAAAAAUGUGUUUUCAUUAAUUAAGGAAGAUAGCAUAAGGCAUAACUCCCCUCCAAUUUAAAAUAAAGGAAAACAUUUGAGUCUACUCAAAAAUGUGUAGAUUGUGUAUUUGAUAUCUACCUUCUUCUUGUAUUCCCUUGCUUCUUGUAUUUCAGGGAAGUUCAGAUGCAUUUGUAUAGUCCAUGAAAAAUGUUCAGCAAGGAAAAUCUGUGGAAUUUGACUCUGAGUUGAAGAUAAAAUUCUACAGAAAAUUUUGUUCCUAUAUUUAAUGAGAUUCCAGCCUAUUUUUUAUUUUAUUCAUUAUUACUAAAGUAUAGAUGAUUAAAUUGCCUUGCCUUAGCUUCUUAAAAACAAAACAAAAGAAAAACCUCAAACAAACAACAAAAACAAACAAAAAAAAAAACCAACCAAAAAAACCCCCAAUCAAACAAAAAAACUGUAUGUCAGAAAUAAACCUGGCAUUGGAGAAGUGACUUUGAGGUGUGGUUCACAAAGUCGAAAUUCUGGGCCAUGGUAUACCCUUUAGUUACAUAUCCAUAAUCAAACAGCCAGUUGAACUCUUGGAGGAAAGAUUCUUAGAACAAAUAUAACAGCUGAUGUUGCAUUUUGUGACUAAUUCACAGGUUUGUUCCAAUUGCAUAUUAAAACACAGGAACACAUACUUCUGAUUUCAUCUGUUUCCAAAUACAAAAUUACACACUGUUCCUCAUUGAUAACAUUAUUUAAAAAAUAGUACAAGAUGAGGACAAAGUCUGGACUAUCGCUAAUAAUGAUAUCCUGGAACAUUAGAGAUCCUACAAACUUCUGGUCUUGAUGUGGAAACAGGAAGCAAAUGAAAAAUGUCUGGCACACCAAGAAGACUGUGAAGUCUUCCUGAAUAUUCUCCUGUAUUUUUUUUUGGUGGAUUUUGAUUUAUACCACUGUGGUUUAACUCUUGUCCAACAUGUUGGUUUCUAAUUACUCUGCUCUUCUAACCAAUAAAAUUCUCCAGGCUGUUUUUAAAGGUGAUGGUUUAAGAUAUUAACAUAGAUAAUGAAUCACAAUAGUUGUUUGUUACUGGGCAUACAGAAGCUGUGCUGUUCAUAGAAAGAGAACUCUACCUUGUGCCUCUGAAACUUGAGAGAUUGAGACUUAUUCCUUUAUCUUCCACAGAUUUCCUGUGCUAUUAUGGGCAACUUUUUAGCCUCAUAAAAGGACUUGGGUCCUAGCAUUUACUUCUUCUGCUGCUUAUUAUCACUCUCACUUUUUUUUUUUUUUUUUUUUUUUUUGAGUUGUAAAUACCUAAAUAGUUCCUUAUAUGGGCAGUAGAAGUGUAGAAAGUAUCUCUGUUCCAAUCUUUUUAAUGGUCUGGUCAGGAGACCUUCUACCAAGGCAAGAGGUGCAUGUUUCACUGUAGGACCAGAAUCUACUGGAUAAAUGUUUCUUCCUUUGUAUUAAUAAGUAGAAUUGUGAAUAACCAAGAGUUGUGAAUGACAGUAAAAACCUGGGAACAAGGAGUGCCAGUACAUGUAUAACUGAAUUCAGAAUUCACUCCUUUGCUUGGAAGCUUUGCAUUUUCCUUGUUGCUUUCAGUUAUUUAAAUUUCCCAAAUAAAACUUGUUUUGUGCAACUGCUAGUGAAAAGAGGAAGAAGAAUUGGUUUGAACAAAAGUCUGUGCAAUUGGGAUGAAAUGCUUUCCUCAGAGUCCUUGAGAAAAUGGUUUCGGGAAAUCUACCUUUUGAUAGAGCCAAAAAAACCCAUAGAGGGGCCAUAACAAUAAUGAUAAUAUCAGAAGCAAACAGAAGGACAUUUUUCGAAAGUGAUACAGGAGGACUGAAGAGCAAGAUACUGGAGCAGCCUGUCAGAAGAAUCAUUCUCUUGCUGCCAUUAUGAUUGUAUGUACUAGACAGAGAGGUGAAAGACUAAAACUGAGUCGCCUGUAAGGAAGACAAAAAAGUGCAAAUCUCUCUGGCAGGGACAUCACAGCUGAUAUUUCUAAAUUGAUGCUUUCAGCUCUGAAUACUGCAGAGCUGUCAGGGCAGUUGUCUAGGCUGAGACUAGCAAGACAGAUCUUUGUAGGGGAAAUAUAUGUGGUUCUUAUAGUUGGGAAACUGCUACUAUGAAAAAUGCCUUCAAAAAAGAAGUAUCCCUGCAACAAAGCCACUAUGCUUGUCACCAGUUUUAGAUUGAUCAAAACUCCUGGAUUUUCCUUCCUUUUUCAGUGCUUUGUUUUUUCCUCUCUCUCUACCAAGGUUGUUUACAUUUCAUUGCUGUGUCUGGCUUGUAGGCUAUUUAGUCUCCAUAAAGGACCUGUAGCAGAAGAAGGUCUAAUAAUGUGAGAUGCUCAGUUCUUGUUAGUGCAGCCGCCAGUGGUGCUAAGGGAAUUCUGCAUGGGUGGCUGUAGGUGUGAAUUGAAAAAAAUGGGGAGGUGUUGAAGAAAUCGAAGGUGUUGUGAAUGGGAAAGGAAAAAUUGGAUUGUUGAACAUUUAUUGUCCUGCAGCAAAAAACAAUUAUUGAUGAAAAUUUUACUCUGCAAAAAAUCUGUUUCGAGCUUUGUGCACAUGAGUGUUUCCAUAUGGUGUGCAGAUUGAAAUGAUGUGGAGAACUCAGUCUCCUUUAGAAAGUAUCCACUGAAGAUAAUGGCACUAACCUGGAAUUUGUUUCUAUUUCCUGUGAGUUUGGCAGAAUUGGUUAGGAAAGCACUGAGCAUCCUUUGCUACUCUCACAGUGAAGAGGGCUGAUCUUUUGCACUGUGCUUUGGAUUCCUCUGACUCUGCCAAAUAGAUUAUCUGUUGCUUUUUUGGGAAGAAGUUACAAUAAUUGUAUUGAUUGUCUUUCAUUUGACUCUUGACUGAGAGGAAUAAAAAGCUUCACGAUUAUUGAUUUAGUUUGCACUCAAGUAUGUUACUUUUGUUUUCACUUCCCACAGGACCUAAUCCCAAGGCCAUUUAUGCAGUUGUGUAAGGCCUUAAUGCAGCAGAGGUAAUGCAGCCUGAAUCAGCAGACAUCCUCUGUGCCUAUCUCCUUGCUUAGGCAUUUAUAAGUAUACCAUCUCAAAAUAUACCUAAAAUUGAUUAAGAGAAGUUGAAACAAAUGGAUUUGUUUAUUCUUUUUAUGAACUAGUAUUUUCUCUUAUGCACCCAAAUUACUUCUAGGUAGAUCUUUGUUGUAUCUACCCCUGUCAGUAAUCAGUACCAGAAGGGCAGGAACUCAGGGCUAGAGAUUUUUAAGUGCCAGACCUACCCUGAUAUUAUUGCUCCUAAAAUGCUGUAUCUAUCAUAGUAAUGGUCAGUGCUAGGAACACGCUCUAGCAGGACUUGGGCAAUGUUAUCACAGUCAGCAUUUAAAUUUUAGUGUUUAAAUACUAUUUUCUUCUCCUUACACCCAAUUCUGCAUCCUCAAACAAAGCAGAUCUUAGACAGUACUGAUCCAAAUAAGUCUGUAGGAAAGGCAGUUGGACCCCAUGCGAGCUAGAAAGGAGAUGCCCAGCUCAGAGGCUGGAAUUAAGCAUUGUUUUUUUAAGUCUCUCAGUGCUUCAGUGUUUAUCCAAAACUGUCUCAUGUAAAUGUGUUGAAUUUUUUGCUUAAUACUGAUUUCUCCAAUUCUCUUAUUUGGAAAAAGGAUUAAAUAAACCUAUAAAUACAUGCAAAUUUUGCUUGGGCAGAAAUAUUUAGGCACAAAACACAGUAAAGCAAACAAGUAGACCAAGAUAAGCACAGAAUUAUGCUAUUAAAUACAAGUAAAAUUUACCUCAUGGAUUAGAUUCUGUUGAACUUAAAGGCUUUGUGAUUAAAGGACAUCAUGUGGAAUCAACACAACUUCUUCAUGUGGCAGCUUAUGCACUGUGCCUAUAUAUGUAGUGCCAGCAUGUGCAUUACUAAAAUCACACAAUCCUGUAAUGACGUAAGUUUUUAGGCUUCUUGGACACCUUCCUUCCAUCACUUUCAAACAUUUUCACAGGGGUUACAUUGGUGCUAUAUCCCUCUGCCACCUCAUUUUCUUGAUGUUGCUAGUAAGGUUUUCCUAAACAGUAGGAAAUCCUUUGGGGCAAAAACUGUGCAUGUUUAAAAUUGUUUUAUUAUAUUCAUUCAGCUUCCACUCCAAUCUGAAUUACUGCCUUAUACACAUCAAAAUUUUAGGAAGGCAAUUAAAUAUAUUUAAGCCCAAGUCAGAUAUGAUAACAUUAACAAAGUCCUUUCUCUAAGGAUGGUUGGUACCUAGUAAGAGUCAGGUUCUCUAGUCUUACUUUUCACUUAGUGGAUGGCCUUGGCAAAUCUUUUCUGUUUUGUCCUCUUUUGAAAAUAAAGGAGGUAGAGAUCCAUUGCACAGUGCUUUGUCAUCUUUUGAUGAAAAAUACCAUUUCCAACUUUUUGUUGUUUUUGUUACCAUCCAAGUGUAGUUAGUAUUGUGUUUCCUUGAGAACAUUAAGCCCUCUCCAACCUGUGUUUUUUUCCUUCAAAAAAUUUUUGUGUAUCUACCUUACGUCCGUGAACCUCCUGGUAUUUUGGAAAGAUUGGAGGAUAGCAUGUUCUCUGUUUUACAGAUAUAACCAUGAGGAAUCUGUAAGGAACAAAAUUCUUCUUGCAUAAUAUACAUCUUGCUCAGUGGUCCAGGUUCCUGUGUCCUAGCAGCUUUAACCACUGGACAACUUUGCUACCCUUUGUCAGAGAGAGAAGGCAGAAGAAAAAGCCCAUCUGCUGCUUGUGGUUGCUAGGGAGUCCCAUGCUGCCCUCAGGUUAGAUUGAACCACUUUCUCUUACAUUUGUGUUGGUUUGGGCCACUCUCUGUACCGAGCUGAAGUUAGUUUAGCUCUUGGUUUUUAACUCUCCUGCCCAGUAGUAUGGCAGCUGGUCAAUUCAGGGUGGGCGGCAUGAAUUUAAACAUAUAAAUUCUUAAUACACACAUGCAGAAAGGGAGAGCAAAUGUAGAUUUUGUAAAGUGUUGCUUUACUUUGCUUGUUGUCUGAGGUAUGCAGCAUGGAAGAAAACUGCUUUUAUUGAAGAAUUCUCUCACCCGAGACACUGGCAGAAUACUGAGGUUUAUAGAAAUCUGUUCAUUAUGGCUCUGUAGGGAAUUUCCAAGUGUAUUAGCAUUUUUAGGUCCUCUUAUCAGCACUUCAAAGAUAAAGUGGCGUGAGAUGAACGCUUCUCCCUUUGUGUGCCGGGUUUUACAUACACUGUGCACCCAAAAUAGAUAGGAAAAUCUAAAAGGGAUUUAUAAGCAGAUGUUAAAAAAUGCAAUGAAUGAUUUUUCAGAUGGUUUUUAAUUAUGGUUUGUCAGAUGACUUCUCAUAGGAGCAUAACCACAAGGCAAAUAUUCACUGAUGAUUUAUUUAAAGAAAAAAGAAGAGAAGGAAAGGCAGGCUGGAUAGUGUUUUUGUGAGGUACUGCUGUUGGAGGCUCUGUGUGUCUCCAUAACAUUUAUCUCCCUGCUCACUGUCGUCAUGGAAGCUCAGAACCAACUGGAAGAUCCUGCUCUGCAUGGGACUGGAUUACUGACCCUAACACAUGGAAAAUUGAAUGUAUUAAGAAGCAGCCGCAUUUUCAACCCUAAGGACUUCACAAGGAAUUUGAAACAAAAGGCCAGAGACCUCUGAGGAGAUUUUCAUCCCAGGGGGGAGUCUCAUUUUUAAAAAACAAAUUAGCAUCACCAUAGAGAAGCAGCUUCCAAUGACCAAAAAUUAGAAUACAAAAUGAAAGAUUUUUUCAUUCUCCUGGGUGUUGCUUUCUAUCUUUUUUUGCCAGCUGAAGGAGCUCUCUUGUCUUAAACAUAGCUGAGGUGAGCUAAGCUCUGACCUCAAUGCAGUCAGUUGCACUCAUAUUGGAAGUGGGAAAACUAGUGACAUCAGAAUGUCUUGCCAAGCCAUGGGUGAAAGAUAAAAGAGACUCAUUCUUUUAUAGAGGGUUAACAACGGCCCCCUCUUUAUUUAUAUGUAUAUAAACUCACUAAGGUCCAUGAAAGAAGAAAUUUACAGGAAUUAAUCUAGCAGGAACUGAUAGAUGGGUAUUUUCCCUCCUUUUCCUCCUUGUGGCAAAUAUCACAGAAGCCUAAUAAAAGGCAGAAUUCUGAAAAGAUCUGUGAAAGUGAGCUCUUGAGCUGUGAAAGCUUGGCUUGCAUGUACUAGCAAGUGGAAAAUCUGGCUAUCCUUCAGAACAGGAAUAGCCAGGAGCUUUGGGAGAAGGGCUUAAAGGUUUGCCUUUGGAAGUGCAAAGGAUGGAAUUGCCAGAUGUAAGGCAUAGGCAACGACCAUGUGUCUCCUUAACUGCAGUUUGCUGCUCUGCUGCACAGAUUUGUGUUGCAACAACUGCCUGUUGAGGUGCAUGGAGAGGUUAAUGGCAGAUUUGUGUCUGUGCGUGUGAGAUGGAGGGCACAGCACAAACCUGAGAGGCUUGUUUUGCCAUUUUGCCCCUGGGGUGGUGGCAGGAUAGCUUCUGCCAAGGAAUUCUGUGGGGACUGUGUGCUGAAUUAAUGCAAAAUGUGUUUCACCUACCUUUUCCUGUGACAGAUGCUGUCCCCUGAGUUGAUGGUAUAUGUUUUGAACUCCUCUAAGGAGCUGUUUUAGCCUUGUCGUAAAUGGUAGCAGAUUUAUAAGCUAACAAGCUUAUACUGAUGAGUAUUUUCACCUUAGGCCUGGCUAUCCAAAUGUAAUACUCUGCAGAUUUUUCCCUGAAGGGUGCCUGUGUAGCCUGUCACUUUAGAGGAUGUGCAUUAAGCCUGAAACAACACAAAGAAUAAGCAGAUUUUAAUGAUAGCUGUUGUCAUAUGAGAUUUUGCAAGUGAAGCAUGAAUUUUUGGUGCAACCAAACCAAGACCAAACCCAGCAGUAGUCACUGUUUUUUGAUUCUUUGCUGUAGAAAAAUACUGAAAAUAUCUACAGGUCUUGGUUUUUAUAUGCAAAACACUUUAUAAUUAUUAAACAACUAGUUCUCACAAAGUAUACACUCAAAGCAAAAUUUGUCAGAAGGCCUCCUCAACUCUCAGAUUGUUUCUUAGUUUCUGUCAUCCCAGAGUUAUUCAUGCAGUGCUCUGUGUCGAUUUGGUUUUGAUGGGAUAGCACUGAGUAUAGUACCGAGUAUAGUAUAAUAAUUACCGAGUAUAGUAAUGAAAUAGGUAACUACAUAGUUUACUUUAAAAUAUUAUAUGCUACAACAUCCUUAUACUUGUGUAUAAGUCUAUAUGUGGGCAUGUGUCUAUGUACAAUUAACAAUACUGACACAGCAGUUUCACCACCAAAAGCUGUGGGUUUAGACACUCUGUAGGACAAACUAGAAAUCUUUUAUGGUAAAGCUGGCAGCAAAGUAUCCUUUUUUGGCUCUGUACACUGAACACUUAAAGGUCACAGUUGUCAGGAACAGCAACUUUAUUUUUGCAACAUAAGUGAAGUGUUUUAUACUGGUUUAAACAUUUUACUUUGAGUGAGUUGUGGUGUUUGUAAUGUGACUUUGCACUGUUCAAAUUCAGCGAGUGUUGGGUGACACAUUACACCUAAUGGGGACUCAGGUCAAGCAGUACCAAACACCCUGGUGUGAUUUUGAUAUAGAGAGAUGCUGAAUCAUUGUCUGCUCUGAAGAAAUUUCCUCCAAGAGCACAGUUAAGAUAAAAGGAGAGUAGCUUCUCAACUGUGAUAUUCAGUGUUUAUUAGUAUGAGCAUGUAGUAAUGGUAGGAAGUGGAAUAACCAAAAAAACAAAACAAAAAAAAAA
ensembl:lncRNA